UACGACGGGGUCUAGCGUUGCUCGGAAUCACUGGGCGUAAAGGGCGCGUAGGCGGUUCUUUAAGUCGGGGGUGAAAGCCCAGGGCUCAACCCUGGAAUUGCCUUCGAUACUGAAGAUCUCGAGACCGGAAGAGGUAAGUGGAACUGCGAGUGUAGAGGUGAAAUUCGUAGAUAUUCGCAAGAACACCAGUGGCGAAGGCGGCUUACUGGUCCGGUUCUGACGCUGAGGCGCGAAAGCGUGGGGAGCAAACAGG
rnacentral:rRNA from 1 species